GAUCCUGGCUCAGGAUGAACGCGUAGCUACAGGCUUAACACAUGCCAAGUCGAGGGGAAACGACAUCGAAAGCUUGCUUUUGAUGGGCGUCGACCGGCGCACGGGUGAGUAACGCGUAUCCAACCUUGCCCACCACUUGGGGGAUAAACCUUUGCGAAAGUAAGACUAAUACCCAAUGACGUCUCUAGAAGACAUCUGAAAGAGAUUUAAAGAUUUAUCGGUGAUGGAUGGGGAUGCGUCUGAUUAGCUUGUUGGCGGGGUAACGGCCCACCAAGGCGACGAUCAGUAGGGGGUUCUGAGAGGAAGGUCCCCCACAUUGGAACUGAGACACGGUCCAAACUCCUACGGGAGGCAGCAGUGAGGAAUAUUGGUCAAUGGGCGAGAGCCUGAACCAGCCAAGUAGCGUGCAGGAUGACGGCCCUAUGGGUUGUAAACUGCUUUUUAUAGGGGAAUAAAGUGAGCCACGUGUGGUUUUUUUGCAUGUACCCUAUGAAUAAGGACCGGCUAAUUCCGUG
rnacentral:rRNA from 1 species